AGGAAGCUUCCUCAGCAGGCAAUUGCCAUUCCCCCAGCGUGAUGAAAACUCUAAAGGGCAAAUGAAAAUGAGCAGUGAGAAACCAGACCUGCAUCCAAGGAGCAUGUUAUUGUGAACAGCACUGAGGAAUGAUCACUAUUCAUCUGAAAUGAAGCCAGCAUAUGAAGAUGAGAGAGACAGAAGUUAUAUUCUGGCAUGGCAAAUUUCCAUCAGCAUUCACCUAAGAUAGCAGAGACGUUGCCAAUCUGACCAUUCCCACAGCUGAAGGGAUCCUCACACUUCUUGCUGACCAGACACUGCUCUUGACAUGACUAUGGAAGUAGGUUCAUUUUGCACAAGAUCACAGAAACGACUGCAGUUUGUGUUCUGCCUUUGUAGUAGCCAUUCUGAAGGAAGGAUUGCAACCUUGACUAUCCCCAGGGACUGCUUUGACUCACAGCUAACCACUGCACUGAUACAACUGCUCUAGACAUCUUGGCAAGAGGACCAGAACAUGCUCACUAUCUGUAUUUCUUGGCCUCUUUCUGAUAAGACUGAGAGUUCCUUUGCUCUCUAUGGACCUUAAAAGAACAAAGUAGAAGAAGAAUGCAAAAUCUUGCUCUCCUCCUCCCUUUCUGUGAUCAAGUGCAACAAGAAUGGCAGUUCCUGUACUCUUGGGAACAGACACACUAAACCGUUUGAACAGCAAGAAGGGCAUGAGUCCAGGCCUAACAUUUGCUUGCAACGCUGGUCAACAUCUAGGAACGCUCCAUGGAGAGUCUUUGGAUGACUAAAAUUUAGGAUGAACUCCUGCUAUGGUGAAUUAAGCCAGUAGGAAUUUUGGUAUCUGUUUCAUCUGACUUAUUGUGAUUUCUUUGAACUGUGGGCCAAUUCUACAGCCAAAGCUAAUGCUUUGCAAUCCUAUCUUAUGUUAUGACAAGAGCUUUUAUGCUUUUAGGUAGAUUUUCUGCUUACAGGUUAUAUAUUUAUGCCCUGGCAGAGGCAUAAACUACAACUUUCUGAUGCCUGAAGGCUAUCCUGGGUGAUUAAUGAUCAUCUCUAUUGUCUCACAUUAAUCAGACCUGAGUUAGAAAAAAAAAAACAAACAACAACAAAACAAAAUAACCCCAACAAACUAAUCAAAACCAGUUAGAGUGCUCUGAUAUUUAACACUUUUCCAUUGUUUUUCUUUCUCAGAAACUCUUCCCCCAAACCAUUUGUUUUGGGGAAUUAAACUGAGAUGAGGCUACAGAAGUGAGGACUGAGAGAGAAAAAGGAAAACUUUAAAAUUGACUAGUGAUGAGUUCAGUUAACUGUGCACAUUUCUGGUUUAUAGCAUGAGUUAAAAAGAAUUAGUACACUGAAUGUCAGUAGUAAGCAUGGGAAUAGCUCGUUAAAACAAAUGUGGUUUUUAUACUCCUUGUCAAAAGUUGUGUGACCAUUUCAACCUAUGUUAAAUACUUCAUUAAAGGUUAUGGAGGUUGAAUGAUUGCAGUACAAGUGGGAAAAAGGGAUUUUAAAGAAGUAGAGAUCUCUCCAGAUUUCUAUAAAUACAGGGUUUAUUUUGUGAUGGUUGACAGCAAUGUUUUGGUAUGAAUCUCAGCACUUUUCUGUUCUUUUGCAUCCCACAAGGUAAAUUAAUACUAAAGGUGAAAUAGGGAAGGUAGAAUACAAAGAAAAUGCAGUUACUGGAUUUAUUGAGCCCACUUGAUAGUGCUGAAAUGUUUUUUGCUUAUUUUUAUAGCCACUCAUUCUUUUCAGGUUUUCUAGUACACGACAAGCACCACAUAAGUGAAUAAAGAAACAAAUCUUUCUUGAGUGUUAAUGGAAAUGAUAUACCCUAAAAUUAACUCAUCUACAACGGCACAGAAAUAUAUGUAUACUGAACAACUGGUCCUCUUCUCUAGAAAUUUAAUUUUGAAUACAUGUGAAAUAUGACAGCUCUUAGUUAAAAUGGACAGUCCCAUUGAUUCAAAAGGUGGAACCACAAGAGUAUCCCAACUAAAGACAGACAAGGAGCAGGAAGUUGAAUCACUAUCAGUGCUGGGGAGGUAGCACAUGCACCAAAGCAUAUUGGGGUACGCUCCCAGCAAUUCCCACAGCCAGAUGUGUGACUGUCCGACUCCAAAGGCAGCAAUGGGCUUUAGGAAGGUUUUGCUGGUAUGCUUUGACCUGCAGGUUAGUCAGUGCAGGUGGGCUAUGGGGACUGAGCUUCCCUCCCGACGCUGCUCCCCCUAGUAUUUGCUGAGUUCUAUCUGAAUCAUGCUUCAGAGACACCACUGUCAUUGGGAGGAUGGAGAAAGAGGUGCCUGAUAUAGCUCCUAAGAAGGUAAUUUGUAGUUUACAGCAUGUGCUUCUCCAGAUGAACUGUGAUGGAGAAGUUUCUGAGGUAUUUACACUUAGAGAGCCUGGACUGGAACAGAAAGGUUAAAGAAUGUUUGAUGCGAUAUGGAGACAGGAGAGCACACCUGUUCCUCUCUUCAUCAGUUUUCUAGGCAGUUGAGCCUCCUCACACACUACAGCUGAGAUGUUUGUUGUCUGGGGCAGCCACAGACUCCAGCUGAAGCUCAUUUGCCCUCUGCACCAUGGGAAACCAACAGCUGAGUGAGCUCCAUUAAUCAGUCUGUCCCUCUCAAAGAAGAAAUCUAUUUCCCCACAGAGCCUGGAAGGAUCAGUAAAAUCUAAAAUCAAGAUUCUCUACAGGCAGACUUUAGGCUGAAUCUUCAACUCAUGGGAUUAACUUUGUUGAACCUACAGCAAUUGUACUAGGGUUUGAACUGGGUAUUUUAAACCUCAAAGUGAGGGGACCAGGUCAUAGAAGGGUGAGAAAACUGAUGCAAUGACGCAGCUCCCAGAAUUUAACAGAGAGAGAGAAAGAAAGCAGGCACUGAAGUUCCCGUAUUAACUCAAGACAUACAGAGGAAGCCUACCUGAACCAGAGCUCCUUGGGGGAACAAGAAGCCACAGGAUCUCCCCUGAGGCAAGAAGGACAACAACUCAGAAGCCAGGGCUUCUGCUUGGCCUGUAGUUCUUGUGCAGGUCUCUCGGAUGGUCAUGGGGAAACUCAUCUGCUCCUUGUGCCUAGCACUGAUUGUUAGGAACAGGAGUGUAAUGAAGAAUUAGUCCUGCAAAUAGCUUUCUUUGGUGCAGCAAGACUUUUGGACAAAAUAUAAAAUCAUCCUUUAAAAGUUUAAGAUCUGACUAAAGCUAUUUGCUGAAUUUGACCUCAGUCUAAAAAUGACCUCAGCUGUUCUGAAACUGCAUUUUUAAACAAGAAAUAAAAAUGCCCGGCUUGUAUCCUGAAGAUCUAAAUUGUACCUUGGCUAGGGGAUUAUUCUGUCUUAGUCCUCUGGGAUGGUUCAACAAAAUAAAUAUCUCAUCUGGCUGCAGUGCUCAUCACGCUGUCAAGCGUAAUCAAAUAUGGGGAGAAGAAGGGGGAGAUAACCUUGAGAGAGGGGGCGUGCUGCAAAUUCAGACAAUUUAUAGCAAGUUCCCUUUCAUAUGUGCACUAAUAUUUUCUCCCACCAUGUUUAUCAUUCUCCACACAUAGCCUGCUAUCUGCACAUCAGUCACGCUCAACUUUCAGCAGCCCAGCUAUUGCACACCUACACACUGAUUCCCACAACCUUCAUUCAUUUCACUUUUGUAUCAGCAUCUAAACACCUCUGUGAAGACUAUACCAUGUGCAGAUAAUGAAUGUUUUUAAUGGGUGUACUUGUGAGGAGACCUCUGCUAUAUGGAGAGAUGGUCAAUUCUGGACCCUCCUGUAGGUUAGAUUUUGUGUUCCAGUAAAUUUCAUCUUUCUUUUUUAAAAAAAUAAUACCCGUAUGUAAUUACUUUUCAGGAACAUAGACUUUACCGUUAUCAAGAGCAACAUAGAAAUUUGACAGUGCAAAGCUGAAACAUAAUUAAAGUGGAAGAUAUAAUACUGUCCUGUUGAAGCCAUUGACUCUAGUGUGGCUUAAAGCAAAAAUUACUUAACUUUGUGUCUGCACUGCUAGGAAUGUGAAUGUUUUAGCAAUUUCAGUCUUUAAAUUUCAAGUGUAUUGUUUAACUCUGGAAAUAAAACU